GUGGUUGUAGCUCAGUGGCAGAGCACUUGCCUAGCAUGUGUGAGGCACUGGGUUCAAUCCUCAGCACCACA
rnacentral:tRNA from 1 species